UCUAUAUUAUAGAUUUGUAUGGAUUUCUUAAGAUUUAUGUAGACUUUUUUCAUGAAUUUUUAUCAAAGUUACAAGUGGCUAAUACAUUUCUUCCCAAUUUGUUCUUCCACCAUUUCAAAUUAUAAGUUAUACAUAUCAACCCAAAAUCUAAGCAACAUCAAAUUCAUGUAAAAAAUUGCCGCAACAUUACAAAUAUUAUACAAAAACCAAUUAAAACCAACAUGAACUUCAUUAGACAAAAAAGAGGAGCAAAAAAACCCAACUGAUUCAUCAGAUACUUCUUUGAAGCAUUUAAUCAAACAACCUACGGGCCAAAUUUGCGUAACCCUAACUCACCAAACCAGCAAAGGAAAUUCCCCAAAAACAAUGUCUUUCCAUUUUCUAAUCAAACAAAAACAAACAUAAUUGGCAAAUUCACGAAUUGAAUCAAAUCCAAACGAAAAACCCAAUAUUUUUUUCAAUUGCAUGCGUCUAACCCACCCAAAAAUUGUUACAAUUUUGGUAAAUUCAAAUUUUUCCUACACCCCAAAAAAUUCAAAAUUUCUCUCCUAUUAAAGAAAAAGAUUGUCUUGGUAAACAAAACAAACAUAUUCCAAAAGAAUAAUCAAAGUAGAAACUAUGAAGAAAGAGUGAACUGAAAAAUCAAGAGGGUAAGAACAUGCCUAGGCUGUGAAUAUAUGCAACCUUCCUCCUCUAAAAAGACUUUCAGAAAAAUACAUCCCAAAACGAACUCUGAAGAAAACAAACCCUAAUUCGACAAAAGAUUGACAUGCAAACAGAAGAAAGAAGGAGAAGGCAAACCUAGUUAUGUCUUUGGUGGAAGACAGUACCACGAAAAGAAAUCAGAGGUGUAAUGGCUGGAUUCUUGAUGGCAUUUGGCAUUUAUAUACUAGGGGUGGGCAAACAGGUCUUGGAUCUGCGGGUAGGGACGGGUACAGGCGAGUACGGGGUGGGUCUAGUGUUUUAAAAUAUGAAAUGGGGCGGAUCGAAUUGGGUUCAUGUUAGUUGCGGGGCAAGGCGGGUCUAAAUUGCUAAGAAAACGAGCCCCUGGCCCGAACCGUAUACCUCGUCCAAUAUCUGGAGAUUUGAUCUCCUAGUCAUCUGCAGAUGUUUUCUCAGUCUCUGGAAGACUCGUUCCUCUCCAGACUAACCUUCCUCCCUCUCAACUCUCAAACAUCUUAACUUUGGACUCUCAUCCAUCUUGAUCUCUCUCUCCCAGAUUGACUCUCAGUCUCGUCCCCGUUAGGGGAUCCAGAUCCUUAUAUAAACGAGGGAUAAAAGUGGCGGCUCUGGUUGUGUCUCUUUGCUCCUUCCUUUGUCCCUGUUUUCGUAUUCCCAAGCCCUCAUCGCAUCUUUUUCUUCGGUAAUCUCUGUACAGUGCAUUUCAAUCAAUGGCUGCGAAUCACUGGUUGAAGCCCGAGGUUUAUCCAUUGUUCGCUGCCACAAGGGUCACCGUAGGGAUCUGUGGGUUAAAUCUGUACCGCCAUAUCACCAUCAACCCUGAAUGAGGUCCCUCCCACCCACCACCUGAUCACCAUCUCCGUAUAUCGAGGUCCCUGCCACACACCACCUGACCACCAUCUUCGUCGAAUGAGUUCAUCGACGCCAAGAACUUGAGUUUGUUGAGCCCCUUGUUGCGAUUAUGCUUCCAAUUUUCAAAAAACCCAAAUUGGUUUUGAUUUGGGUUUCCCAAUGGUUUUGUAGGGGAAUUUAAUUUAGGUUUUUCUGGGUUUUUUAGGGGUUUGGGAAAAUUUUGUGAUAUGGGUUUUGCAGGUAUUUUUUUCUUUCCUAAGUAGUUCAUCGACCAUGAAUUAGAAAUCAUGUAAUUUACUGGUUUUUGUUGAAUUUGUAACAGAAAUUUUACAUGAUGGACGUAACUUGCUCUUUGGUUCUA